CGCCAUCACAGCCUGCCGGGGGUCUAGGGGGGCCGCGGACCACAGCCGGCCGGGCCGGGGGCGGGGC
rnacentral:miRNA from 1 species